AGAUAGACAUUUACAACCCUGCUGUAAGUAAUAUAAUUGUCAAUGCCUUAUAUGGAAUUUUUAAUUUUCUUUAAUUAAUAUAUAUUUUAUAUAUUUUCAAUCCAAAAAAUUUAGGUUCCGUCUCGUAUUCAUGUUGUCAUAUAUGCAGUUUGGAACCAUAAUAUGAAGGGUAAAAUAUUUUCUUUUAAUUAUUUUUAUAAUAUGCUUUGCAUUAUGGAAAAACUUUGGAUAUAAUAAUUUAUUCUAUUUUUGAUUAACCAUUUCGCUGGUAUGCCCCUAUAUGAACAGUAAAAUUGGUCUAUAAAAUGUAUUUGUGGUGUGUAUGAGUUAAAAAAAAAAAAAAAAUCUGUUAUAGAGCUAUUCAUUUGUGCAAGUUGGUACACAUGUGCCUACUUUGCAAAGCCCUCCACUCAUACAUAAAUGAAAGAGUGAACUUGUCCUAUAGCCUGUUUGUCCCAUCAAAAUUGUCUAAUCAAAGGUGGAAUUGUGAGUGCAAGAAUUUGAACUAAAAAAUUAUUGCAGCUUUAAUU
rnacentral:misc_RNA from 1 species